AUGAAGGAGGGCUUGUCUGGAGGGCUAAGUGCCCUGGUUUUGUCUCGCCUCCUUAAUCUUUGUUCACCAGAAAGACGCAGUGAUACUUUUCUCCUCUUGCUGACAUUCAGUGAUGCUUUGAAGACAGCAGGAAGCUUUGCUUUGAAUUUAGGUGGAUACCAGCAGCAAAUUGAAGUUACCUCCACUAGGUGAUGCUUGGCUGGUGAAGUCUGUGUUUGAACAAAACCAAGAAUGCAAUGUGAAAUACUUCAACAGUGACUUCCAAAUGUGAACCUUGAUGCUGCGGUGUUAAAUCCUCCUCACUUGAGGAGUCUCCUCUACCUGUUGUGGGGAGCUGC
rnacentral:lncRNA from 1 species